UUUUUUUUUUUUUUUUUUUUUUUUUUUUUUUUUUUUUUCCA
rnacentral:ribozyme from 1 species